CGAAAGCCUGACGGAGCAAGACCGCGUGGGGGAAGAAGGCUCUUGGGUUGUAAACCCCUUUUCUCUGGGAAGAAAGUUGUGAAAGCAACCUGACGGUACCAGAGGAAUCAGCAUCGGCUAACUCCGUGCCAGCAGCCGCGGUAAGACGGAGGAUGCAAGCGUUAUCCGGAAUGAUUGGGCGUAAAGCGUCCGCAGGUGGCAGUUCAAGUCUGCUGUCAAAGACCGGGGCUUAACUUCGGAAAGGCAGUGGAAACUGAACAGCUAGAGUAUGGUAGGGGCAGAGGGAAUUCCUGGUGUAGCGGUGAAAUGCGUAGAGAUCAGGAAGAACAUCGGUGGCGAAGGCGCUCUGCUGGACCAUAACGGACACUAAGGGACGAAAGCUAGGGGAGCG
rnacentral:rRNA from 1 species